UACGAAGGGGACUAGCGUUGUUCGGAAUCACUGGGCGUAAAGCGCACGUAGGCGGAUUUGUAAGUCAGGGGUGAAAUCCCGGGGCUCAACCUCGGAACUGCCUUUGAUACUGCGGAUCUCGAGUCCGAUAGAGGUGGGUGGAAUUCCUAGUGUAGAGGUGAAAUUCGUAGAUAUUAGGAAGAACACCGGUGGCGAAGGUGGCCCACUGGAUCGGUACUGACGCUGAGGUGCGAAAGCGUGGGGAGCAAACAGG
rnacentral:rRNA from 1 species